rnacentral:rRNA from 1 species
GGGUCAGUAGGUUGGUCGUGCCACCGGUACGUACUGGUCUCACUGAUUCCUCCUUCCUGAAGAACCGUAAUGCCAUUACUUUGGUGUUGCGGGGAAACAGGACUGUUACUUUGAAAAAAUUCGAGUGUUUAAAGCAAGCUAACGCUUGAAUACAUUAGCAUGGAAUAAUGAAAUAGGACGAUCGAUCCUAUUUUGUUGGUUUCUAGGAUUGACGUA